GGCAGCCCUGCCCUGGGCCUCAGUGGGGUCAGUGACUGACAGGAAUAAAAGGGCUGUAACUGCAAGGACUGCAGCUCCCUGAGCGGGACAGCGUUGCUGGACCCACAGAAUGGUAGAAAAAGGAGUUACAAGUGAAGGCUGGUGGUUGCCAGAUGACCCUACAGGCUAAAAUAGUUGGAAGAGCAAGUAUACUGAAGAGAUUAAUAUGACUCUGAAGUAGCAUCUCUAGUUCACUGGCAGGUCACACUUGCAUCACAGCCGUGAAGUGUCUCCCAGACCGAUCCUUGUGGAGCAGAUCCAGAGAUUCCAGUCCACCUGCAGUGUAGCUGUGCUCAGAGGACAGAGUGCUCAAGCCAUUCCUGGCAUCAAAAGAAUGUCCUUGAGAAAAAGUCAGGCCUAUUGACUCCUAAGCAUAUUAUUUGACUUGCUGUUCAAGUAGUCUGAAGAAAGAGCUGGAAAUAAUGAAAGACACUGCAAUGUGGAGCUGCCUUAACUGACAGUGUCAGGUGGGUCGAAGCUAUUGAACAGUUCCUAUUAAAUUAGCUUACCUUCAUCUCGGCUAGUUAAAGCUGGCAUGCUGACAAAUUAGUUGCAUUCUGUAUAUAAAAGAGGAGAGGCAGGAUGAGAUUCCCAUUUUGUAGCUUAGUGACAGUAGAUAUGUCACAUCACAAGGUCAAUAACAAUCUGUCCAUGGAAGAAAUGUAAAUGUUUGGCUGAUGUCAAUACAUUCUGGAUUAGAUUGUGAAAUAUUCAUUCCUAGAGCAGAUGAGCUCAUUUGCACUAAUAAAGACCACUUUAUUCCAACCCAGUUAAUUACAAUGCUUUAUAUUGUCUGUUUCAAAAUCUGAUUACAGCUUUUCUUUAGCUUUUCCAAUAUUAGCUCUUGCGCAUUCUAUAUGCUAUUUCUAUCCAAAGAGUGUUAAUAGAGAAAGUUAACAGACAUGCUUAGAAUGUGGAAAAGCUUAGGGGUUUAUUUAUUUAUUUUUGUUCAUCAGAACAGAUGGAUUUUACAGUUUUCUUUAGAGGGAGAUUCUGAGUCUGUCAUAAAUUGUGUUUUAAGUUCAAACAGAAAGCAUUCUGGUUAGUUGGUUGUUGUAGGUAUACGUUUUCUUGUAUGGUGGUUGGUUGCUGUAUAUGUAGAAUAUCCCAUGCAACUAACUCAGAUUUUAGGAAUAAAAAAAGAUGUAAGAGUGUUAAAGUGUUUGAUCACAGUGUUCUGCCCAUAAUAAGUUUUCAUAACUUUAAUACCUUCUCAGCAAUAUGGUAAGAUUUGGGGAUACUUUUUUGCUCCUCUUGAUGCAUGCAGUUCAAAGUCCUUCCUUGCUAGAUUUUGAUCCUAAAUUAUUUGCUGCCUAGAAGACUGCAUUUCAUCUUUUGGGAGCAAUCUCUGGUAAGGACAAGGUGACCUGUAUUUAAACGCUUCUAAAGUAUACUGCUAAUUAUGAUGGAGCUACCUAAUAAUGUUCUUGGUUAAGUCAAGGUUUUGUGCAUACCAGAAUGAAUGUUUUAGAUGUUUUGAAA